rnacentral:lncRNA from 1 species
UUUCUUGGAGAUUCGAGAGAGGACAGUUAUGUGAGGUGCCGCCAUCACCAAUUUUGGCUAGCUUGCCGGUGAUCCGGUUAGAUAGAAAACAAGAGCCAAGGCUUUUCAGGGAAGCUGCUCUUUUUUUGGGGUGUCUAGGUUGUGUUGCUGAUGUUGAGGUGGGUGGAAGCCGGUAGAGGAGUGAGCAGCGGGUUCCAGUGGUUGUCAGCAGUAGGGGCUUGGAGAGUGGUCAGCGACUGGUCAGGUUGGAGUUUCAGGCGAGCUAUUGUGAGAGAGAUGGAGGUCAGGCGAGCUGGGUGUUCUUUGGCAGGGUUGCGACUGGGCGGCAGCUAUGGAGAUUUGGAGAAGAUCUAGGUGCUGGUCUCUUGUAGAAGAAGAUGAAAUGGCUGCUUACUUUUUAGAGAACAAAGGCCGUUGUCUUUUUUCCGGCGAAUUUUUUGGGUUUAAGAUGGGGCAGCGACGUUGUUGUUAUGGACGAAGAAGAAGGAGUUCAUUGUUCUCUUCAUUAGGGUUCGUAUGGUUGUCAAGUUUGAAGCUGUGGAGGAGGUACGAAAAUGCUACCAUGGAUGUGUUUUGGAGAAGAAGAUGAAGCUAGGGUUCUCAGAUGUUGUAGUUCAAUGAAGAAGAAGAUGCACCUUAGCUCUCUUUUAAAAAAAUGGCUCUCUUGUAUGUUAUAAUUUUAGGGUUUUUC